CACGAAAGCGUGGGGAUCGAACAGGAUUAGAUACCCUGGUAGUCCACGCAGUAAACGAUGAUGGCUAACUGUCGGGCCUUAUGGGUUCGGCGGCCAAGCGAAAGCGAUAAGCCAUCCACCUGGGGAGUACGACCGCAAGGUUGAAACUCAAAGGAAUUGACGGGGGCCCGCACAAGCGGAGGAACAUGUGGUUUAAUUCGAUGAUACGCGAGGAACCUUACCCAGGCUCGAACGGCAUCUGAAUUGUCCAGAGAUGGACAAGUCUUCGGACAGAUGUCGAGGUGCUGCAUGGUUGUCGUCAGCUCGUGCCGUGAGGUGUCGGCUUAAGUGCCAUAACGAGCGCAACCCUUGCCGUCAGUUGCCAUCAGGUGAAGCUGGGGACUCUGGCGGGACUGCCACCGCAAGGUGCGAGGAAGGGGGGGAUGACGUCAAAUCAGCACGGCCCUUACGUCUGGGGCGACACACGUGUUACAAUGGCGGCUACAGAGGGAAGCCACCCCGCGAGGGGGCGCGGAUCUGAAAAGGCCGUCUCAGUUCGGACUGGAGUCUGCAACCCGACUCCACGAAGCUGGAUUCGCUAGUAAUCGCGCAUCAGCCAUGGCGCGGUGAAUACGUUCCCGGGCCUUGUACACACCGCCCGUCAAGCCAUGAAAGCCGGUGGCGCCUGAAGUACGUGACCGAAAGGAGCGUCCUAGGGCGGAA
rnacentral:rRNA from 1 species